GAUGGACGCUGGCGGCGUGCCUAAUACAUGCGAGUCGAGCGAACAGACGAGGAGCUUGCUCCUCUGACGUUAGCGGCGGACGGGUGAGUAACACGUGGAUAACCUACCUAUAAGACUGGGAUAACUUCGGGAAACCGGAGCUAAUACCGGAUAAUAUAUUGAACCGCAUGGUUCAAUAGUGAAAGACGGUUUUGCUGUCACUUAUAGAUGGAUCCGCGCCGCAUUAGCUAGUUGGUAAGGUAACGGCUUACCAAGGCGACGAUGCGUAGCCGACCUGAGAGGGUGAUCGGCCACACUGGAACUGAGACACGGUCCAGACUCCUACGGGAGGCAGCAGUAGGGAAUCUUCCGCAAUGGGCGAAAGCCUGACGGAGCAACGCCGCGUGAGUGAUGAAGGUCUUCGGAUCGUAAAACUCUGUUAUUAGGGAAGAACAAAUGUGUAAGUAACUAUGCACGUCUUGACGGUACCUAAUCAGAAAGCCACGGCUAACUACGUG
rnacentral:rRNA from 1 species